CAUGGUUGUCGUCAGCUCGUGUCGUGAGAUGUUGGGUUAAGUCCCGCAACGAGCGCAACCCUAUUGUUAGUUGCCAUCAUUCAGUUGGGCACUCUAGCGAGACUGCCGGUAAUAAACCGGAGGAAGUGGGGAUGACGUCAAAUCAUCAUGCCCCUUAUGACCUGGGCUACACACGUGCUACAAUGGUUGGUACAACGAGUUGCGAGUCGGUGACGGCGAGCUAAUCUCUUAAAGCCAAUCUCAGUUCGGAUUGUAGGCUGCAACUCGCCUACAUGAAGUCGGAAUCGCUAGUAAUCGCGGAUCAGCACGCCGCGGUCGAAUACGUUCCGGGCCUU
rnacentral:rRNA from 1 species